UAAUUUAAUGUUAAAAUUAUAUAUACAUUACAAUCUAAUCCAAUGUUGUAUUAUGCCGAACAUGAAAGGUCAUGAAAUAUAAUCUUAUCUUUAUCAAAUCUUAUUUUAAGUCAUAUAGCUCAAGUCAUAUUCAAUUAUAUCUCAUCUAAUCCUAUCCUAUCCAGCGCACCAAACAAGCAUAUAUAUGUGAUUAAGAACUAAAAAGACUAUAGCUAGAAGCAUUUCUGUUAGAGUUUCUCCUAAAACAUAGAUAUCCAGAGACAAGCUUUUAGAAUGUUAGAAAUAUAAUCACUCAGGGAUGUAAGUCGAGAUAGUUUACGGUACAUUAAGUCUGUAAUACUAACGCUAGCUAGAUUCGAGCCCCUCUCAAAUCCAAAAGCCAUAUAGCUUUCCGAACACAUUUACUGAAUGACCAACAUCAAUUUCUUCUGCAAGUGAUAAAGGACAAAUACAACAAUAUAUGAUAACUAAAAGAACAAAUUCCCUUUCAAGAAGUUCCCAGAUCGCAACUUCAAUGGACCAUUCCAUAAAAGAUUCAUUAUAGGAAACUGCUAUUGCGUUUUUAUGGAAUUAAAAUGAGGAGAAUAUUCAAAGGAACCCUUAAUUCUUUAAUUUCGGAGGAAUUUGGGGAUUAAAUUGCAUGUGUUAUAUAUGCUUCCGUUUUCGUUUCUAUUUCAACUAAAUUGCACAAGUCAAGUCACAUAGCAGCAGAUUUACGUGCAUCCAGUUUUGGAGUGGCAGAGAUAGACCAAUUGUACCGAGGCUAUUAUAUUUAAUGUACUAAUUAAUGUUAUGGAUAAUUAGUGAGCAGCCUAACAAAUAACUUGUAUCACAAUUUACAGCUUCAACUGACAAAAUAAUAAAAUUAAUGACUCUAUGUAUAGCUAAAAACUCUAAUUCAUAAUAAUAAUAAGGGAGUUCAAAUAAAACAGCGGCUAAUAAAAUAGUCGGUCACUACAAGUAAUAUGAAGAAACACCAAGCUUUAGAGUUUGUCAUUUAUUAAUGAUUUCUUCGUCAAAUUAAUCCAGUGAGCUUGUUCAGAGACCCAACUUGUUCAAUAGACGAGGAAAAUUGCUUGAAUUCGAAGAAUUUUGACAGAGAUAAGAAACCUACAAGGAGGGAGGAUUAAUAAUUAGAAAAAGAAUAGUGCAAACUUUUAUGUGUGUGUGUGUCUAUAUAUAUGUAUGUAUGUAUGUAUGUGUGUGUGUGUGUGUGUGUGUGUGUGUGUAUAAACAUGUAUACAUACGGGAGAUUUUGAAACAACCUUACAAUCGAGUGAACAGAAAUAAUUAUUCCCUUGCAGCCUAGCUGGACACCCACUGCAUUUGUUGGUGGUGGAUUCUCUAAAAUAUGUUCCUGGCCUUUGGUUUAUAUGUAGCACUUUUUCACCAUUAUGUUGAUAUGUCUGAAGAGAAAAUAUAUGGAGCACGUUUGUAAGAAAGUGGUCAGAUAUAAAUGUAGUUUCACAAGUCAUAUGCUCAUGCCCGGAUACCGAAUUUGAACCCAGAACAAAAUUGAGUGGCACAGCUCAAUUCGGAUUAAAAUUCGGAUGUUCGUGCGUGAGCAUUAUUAUGCAGUUCAGAGUAGUACUUCGUUGGCAAAUAGCAGAAUUUUUAAGAAAAUAUUCAAUGAAGAAGAAAUAGAAAAGAUUUGAAUUCAAGCUUUGACUUAUUACUUGGAUAUGUCCACAGUCAAUGAACUCGUGAGCCUCAACG
rnacentral:lncRNA from 1 species